rnacentral:misc_RNA from 1 species
CAACCAUCAAGCCCUUGCUUGUGUUGGGGUCCUGCGGCUGCCCGCAGGCCCUGAAAACCAGUGGCGGGCUCGCUAGUCACACCGAGCGCAGUAAUACAUCUCGCUUUGGUCGUGCGGCGGGUUCUUGCCGUUAAACACCCCCCUUUUAAA